rnacentral:rRNA from 1 species
GACGAACCGUGCGAACGUUGUUCGGAAUCACUGGGCGUAAAGGGUGCGUAGGCGGGUCUUUAAGUCAGGGGUGAAAUCCUGGAGCUCAACUCCAGAACUGCCUUUGAUACUGAGGAUCUUGAGUACGGGAGAGGUGAGUGGAACUGCGAGUGUAGAGGUGAAAUUCGUAGAUAUUCGCAAGAACACCAGUGGCGAAGGCGGCUCACUGGCCCGUAACUGACGCUGAGGCACGAAAGCGUGGGGAGCGAACAGG